rnacentral:rRNA from 1 species
CACGUAGGGCGCAAGCGUUGUCCGGAAUUAUUGGGCGUAAAGAGCUCGUAGGCGGUCUGUUGCGUCCGCUGUGAAAACUAGGGGCUUAACCCCGAGCCUGCAGUGGAUACGGGCAGACUAGAGGUAGGUAGGGGAGAAUGGAAUUCCCGGUGUAGCGGUGAGAUGCGCAGAUAUCGGGAGGAACACCGGUGGCGAAGGCGGUUCUCUGGGCCUUACCUGACGCUGAGGAGCGAAAGCGUGGGGAGCGAACAGG